ACCAUUUUCAGUCAUUGGAUCAAUCAAGAUCUAACGCACAACAUUUACCCAGAUCAAAAUAAUGGCACUAUUGUAAAUUAAUGAACCUUUUAUUGUAUAAUAGAAAUUUUAGAAAAGUUUGUCAGCUCUUUCUCUCUCUAAAAACCGGUACAACUUUUUUCUCACUCUAAAGUUCUCUCCCCAAAUUCAUUCAAAGCUUUCAAAGAAAGAUUCAUCAAAUUAUUCAUUCAAAUUUGCUUGGAACUCACGAAGUUUGUCCGAAUUCUUCAUUAAUUCAAGUGUUCGUCAAUACGUUUGCGAUUUUUGGGAGAACAUAACAGAAUUUUAUUAGCUCACAACAGGAGCAUCAAAAAGAACAGCAGACAUGAAAAUCGCAGGGAGCUCCUGAAUCCAGACUCUCGUACAAUCAAACUCAUUACUAGAUUGGGCAAGCUUAUGUGCCACCCUAUUCCCUUCCCUCCCAACAUGGCUGACAGAAAAAGAAGAACAAGAAUUAGCAAUGCACAAAAUAUCGUUCACAUUCAGACCAAAGGGCGAAAUUUCUCUGAUGUUGUUCUGCAGGUGGGAGUACAGCUUCAGCAAAUCAGUUUCAAGUUCAAUAUUCUACAAGCCUGCCUCAACAACAAUUGUAAGACCAUGUCUAACAUAAGAGAAUCAAGAGCAUCACCACAAACUUGACAAAUAUCAUCACUACAUAUACCCCGUUUAGCUAAAUAGCUCCGAACAGGCACCCCAUUGUGAAGAACGCGCCAACCAAAAAUUUUAACUUUCGGUGGAAUUAUCGCAUGACGCUGAUAACCUAUGUAGGAAUCGAACCUACAUCUCUAUGCAUUUGCAUAGUGCUCUACCACUUGAGCUAAUAGGUUUUAGCAUGCCCAACGAUUAAAUAAUGUACUGUAAUUCAACCCUAUGUUCUAAGCUUUUUUUCAAUUUUCUAAAAAAUGUUCAGAAUAUUUUCUAAAAAAAAAAAAUUCCCUAAUGUUCUAAAUCUAUGUUUUGAGAGUUU